GCGGGAAUAACUCAGAGGUAGAGUGACAGCUUCCCAAGCUGUAGGUCGCGGGUUCGAAUCCCGUUUCCCGCU
rnacentral:tRNA from 1 species